UAAGGCUGGACACCUUUGAAGCUGUGGUGGAGAGGAGGACAAUGAACAAACUGUUAUCCACCAAGGAUAACUCGGACCAUCCUCUCCACCACACACUGGACAGACAGCGGAGCUCCUUCUCCAAUGGACAGAUUCAGCUUGGCUGUCAUUACAGGGCUCCAGACUAACUUUUUACAUUAGUUGCACCGGUUCCACUGAGUGUGACACGCCCUCCUGCUGAUUUCCCUACACCUGGCAGCAACUCCUUUCAACGCACCUGCUACUCAUCCUGCUUCAUUCCCUGCUGUUAAAUACCAGCGUGACUUUCCUCUCCCUGCCGGAUUGUUACGUACCCUGAGAAUAACUUCUUUUUGGAAUCAACUGCUGCCGAUCCACUCCACGCACUGGAACUUCCAGCAACAGCGGCACAGAGGAACACAGCCCAGUCAGCGUUUGCCAGCACCAGCCAUUUCCGGACCCAGCACUUCCCCACUGCCGGCUCACACUCAC